rnacentral:misc_RNA from 1 species
GCCUUGUGGGUAGUUUUUUUUUUUUCUUUUUUUUAAUGUUUCGGUAUCAUAUACCAAAGCUCCAUGAGAAGCUAGAGACAAGUCCUUUACACUGGUUACAAAGUCUUAACCUCCUUUUUAGCUAAACGGCCCAUCCACCCUAAUAUCAAAAACAUUAUAAUCAAACAAACCAAAUAUAGAAGCAGAACAUUCAUAAAUGGCAUUAAAGGCACUGAGGCAGCAAUCUUGACAUGUAAACAAGCUCAAUAUAUGAAUAAUAGACUUGCCAAAAAUUUCAGUGCCAAUUGAUUGCCUCAACAAAACCACAUCUGAGAUCACGACCAUAUAACCCUCUCCCCUACAUAUACCUCCUAACCCUAAAAAGGAACCAAAUGAGGGAUGUAUGAGUUAUAUUGAAAUCAUUCAUUGCAAAUACAGAAGACAUUAUCUAAUUGCUGCUAAUAUCAAACAGGUUAGAAGACAUUAUCAUCAAACAAACAAAUUCCAAUAUCAAUUGUUUGCACUAAAUCAUCAUCCCCAAACCUUUAAGAUCCAUUUCUUUCUUUUUUUUUUU